rfam:Schistosoma mansoni, Puerto Rico, WGS project CABG01000000 data, contig: 0375
AGCUUUUUGAAUCCGUGUUGAGAUUUCGUCAGACAUCAACCCAUCGGGGCUGGUCCGACUUUCAAGAUACAUGAGGUU